UGCUCUCCGUGGGACAGGGACGGGACAGCGAGGGGUGGCAUGAGCUGGGCGGCACCUUAGCGGGGACAGUCCGCGGGGCCGAGCGCCGGGGUUCCCGGGCUGCCCCCGCCACCGCCCUCCCCACCGGCUGACAUUUGCCAUGCGCAGACAACACGCACUUCACCAAACAAUUCAGCCCGAGCCUCGCUGCAAACUCGCUGGGUUAUUUUUCUCCUCGUUCUCCGCUUGUUUAUGGCUGACGCUAUCUCGCCUGCCCCGCUCCCUCGGUUUCAUUAUCUCUCCUCGCAGAUGGCCCGUGGCUUUCCUUCUUCACAGGGCUUCUCUCUGCUGGUGCUAUAGCUCCCUCUUCUCUCCCCAGCUCUGCAUCCCUCACAGAGGGAUGGGCCCUUGCUCACAGGUGAGCCUUCCCCAGCAAAGCACUUCACUGCAGCUGUCCUUCCUCCUGCAGUCCCUUCUCCUCUGAAGGCCCCAGCAUCCCGUAAAAUAAAACCAAUGUGAUAGUAGUGGCAUUGUGGCCAGCGGGACCAGGGCAGUGACCAUUCCCAGUUCUGGGGAACCUCCAAUCCCAGGGAUGAUGAAUUUUUUAAUCGGCAGGAUUAAAGAAGUGCAACAGUUUCCAAGGAUUCAAAGGCAUGGUGGGAAAAGAAGAAAAAUUUUUUACCUCAUUGGCAGAGAAUUUAAGAGCAAUCAUUGUAAGUUUUGAAUCCUGGAAGCCUCCAGGUUAAAGAACUCAUUUAAGAAAACCAAAACUCAACAAAUCUUCUGGCUUCUUUUCACAGACUAACAGCAGAAGAUCACAAGGGUUACCUUUGACAUCUGUUCCAUGUGAACCCACAGAAGAUUUCUAGGAAGAAGAGAAUUGCUGGGGCAUUUCUGUGACCUGAUCCCUCGUCUUGGUUGAUCCGCGAUGGAAAGGUGACCCCAGGAACGGCUGGGAAUGGAUCUGGUGAGAGCCAUUGCUGUCUGAGCCAAGCAGAGUGUUCCCAACUGCAUCCCUGAAUAGAUUCAUUUGCUCUUUCCCUGGCUCUAUUUUAGCUACAAAUCUGUUAUUCUGCCCUGUGGGUGCCAACAUUUUGUUAAAAAAUAACCAAACUCAGUAAUAUUGGA